CNUACUGCUCGUACACGUGGACACCUACCCUCCGGACGGGUAUAAACCCGGGAAACUGGGUAUAAUCCCCGAUAGAUCUCGGUCGCUGGAAAGCCCCGAGAUCGAAAGCUCCGGCGCCAGAGGAUGGGUCUGCGGCCUAUCAGGUAGUAGUGGGUGUAGCGUACCUACUAGCCUACGACGGGUACGGGUUGUGAGAGCAAGAGCCCGGAGAUGGAUUCUGAGACACGAAUCCAGGCCCUACGGGGUGCAGCAGGCGCGAAAACUUUACAAUGCCGGCAACGGCGAUAAGGGGACCUCGAGUGCCAGGUUACAAAUCUGGCUAUCGUGAUGCCUAAAAAGCAUUGCAUAGCAAGGGCCGGGCAAGACCGGUGCCAGCCGCCGCGGUAACACCGGCGGCUCGAGUGGUAACCGUUAUUAUUGGGUCUAAAGGGUCUGUAGCCGGCCAGAUAAGUCUCUUGAGAAAUCCAGCAGCUCAACUGUUGGGCUUUCAGGAGAUACUGUCUGGCUCGAGGCCGGGAGAGGUGAGAGGUACUUCAGGGGUAGGGGUGAAAUCUUGUAAUCCUUGAAGGACCACCAGUGGCGAAGGCGUCUCACCAGAACGGACCUGACGGCAAGGGACGAAAGCUAGGGGCACGAACCGGAUUAGAUACCCGGGUAGUCCUAGCCGUAAACGAUACUCGCUAGGUGUCGGCCACGGUGCGACCGUUGUCGGUGCCGUAGGGAAGCCGUGAAGCGAGCCACCUGGGAAGUACGGCCGCAAGGCUGAAACUUAAAGGAAUUGGCGGGGGGGCACCACAACGGGUGGAGCUUGCGGUUUAAUUGGAUUCAACGCCGGAAAUCUUACCGGGACCGACAGCAAUAUGAAGGCCAGGCUGAAGACUUUGCCGGAUUAGCUGAGAGGUGGUGCAUGGCCGUCGUCAGUUCCGUACAGUGAAGCAUCCUGUUAAGUCAGGCAACGAGCCGAGAAUCCGGAUU
rnacentral:rRNA from 1 species